rnacentral:rRNA from 1 species
AAUCAACGCUGGCGGCGUGCCUAACACAUGCAAGUCGAGCGGGAAAGGGGGCUUCGGCCCCUGAGUAUAGCGGCGGACGGGUGAGUAACACGUGGGUAAUUUGCCCUUGGGUGUGGAAUAACUCAGGGAAACUUGAGCUAAUACCGCAUGACAUCCCCUUCACACACGAGUCGGGGAUCAAAGCCGGGGACCCUUCGGGGCCUGGCGCCUGAGGAGAAGCCCGCGCCCGAUUAGCUAGUUGGNGA